CUACAUUGUUGGAUAUGUCGCUUAUCAUCACUUUUUAUUUGGCUCUGAUCUGCCAAGCUCGAGUUAUGCUUCUUAUAAAUUGUGGUUUCAGUCAGUCACUUAAACUGCUUCAGUGUUGAAAUAACAAUUUUUUACAGGUCUUUUAGCUGUAGCUCAAGAGAAGGAAUUCUUCCAGAGCAUCAUUUAACUGUUCAAAGUUUGUCCUCACUGAGAGGCUUAAAGUUUGUCCACUUAGCAAAUGAUUUUUUUGAUCAGCAAAAUGAUUAGUGAAACUACUCUUUUUUAAAUACAUGGAUCCAUUUGUUAAUACAAAUACCAAGUUAAUACCAAUAAAGCAUUUUAAUGUACAAAAUGUAUCUUCUCUAUUGUCACAACUGAGCUCCUGCAGGCACCAUCUCAGACUUUUGAAAUGUCCUGUUGUCUAGUGGAAGAGCAUGCAAUGGGAUAUGGGAGAUAUUUUAAUGCUAUGUUGUGCUUGAUAUGGGUGGAAUUCAGCAAAUAGUAAUGUUUAAUCAAUACUAUGGUAUUGGAGGUAUAAGAAAAGGUUUGCAUUUAACUUGGUGUCAUUCUUCCCUAGCUCAUUCCAUUGUAAGAAAAGCAUCGUUGUUGAAAGGGACCUCAAUUAUUUUACUUCAGCCCAUGGGAUCCCACUUCAGUUGCAGCUGUUUGAAUUAACAUGUCUUCUUGCUGCAUCUCCUGGCUGAGGAAAGUGCAAGAAGUGCUGUCAUGGCCAGCAGAACAAACAGAUACCUGAUGUAUUACUUCAUCAGCAAAUUCAACAAGGCCAAGAUGUCUUCAUUUUCCUUCAGAGCAAGAGCUGUAAGAGCAGUGUGGUGGAAGUAUUGGUCUUCUGUGGCCAGCCGGCAAGAACCCAUCAACAGCUGUGAUGAGCAGAGCAGACAUGGGAGACAGGAGGCAGCUGAAGCCAAAGAGGACCCACGCCUGGAGCUGUGUCUGUGUGAUUGGAGCAGAGAGAGGCCAGGACCCAAGGAAAUCCCAGCAGCAAGGGAAAAAAACAGAUUGACUCUCAGUGACUCAUUUAGCUCCUGGAUUGGACAGAUCUCUCCCCUGCUGGCAAUUUGGCUGAGCAUCAAUGGCCAGAUACCAGGAUGA
rnacentral:lncRNA from 13 species